AAUCUUUGGCGGUGUUCGUACAAAGGCGAUGUGGAAACUAAAAAUUAAAAAUGGAAGGAAAACCCCAAAGUCGGAUGCAGGAGGUCAGGGCAGAUGAAAUAGGACGUCAAAUCCAAGCUUAUGCCCUUUAUUGUGGGAUUUCACCGACAGGAAGGAAUUCCACAAAAUGGGCGAAUUCGCUGAAUAGUUAAAGUGCUGGAUGAGAUCCACUAAAGAAUCCCAGUAGGAAGGAACAUGCCGAGUGGGACUUCGAUCUCUACAUGGACAUCCUGCCGGGCGCGUCCCCGCAAGGAAACAGAACCACCAGUAAUACGAUCUCCGGAUACCACCACCACUACUUGGCAGCUUAAGCGGAGAUGGAGGACCCGCUGGCUUCUAUAGGGAGGAGGAAAAUAGGGCGCCCGCUAAGGAACAGUUGGAGAAGCCAUAGCCAGCCACUGCCAGGAUGCUGGGCGACUUCAUGCAGCAUCAGCGGAUCAACCCCGUUCUCCCACUUCCUCAAGGUCCAGUAUGCCCAUUGGGACACGGAGCUGGACUGCGGUGGCACGGAAAAGAAUGCGAAGCAUCCGUGGGACGAGAAGGAAACCUUAAGCUACUAAUUUAGAUAAAUAAAAACAUUCGUUGAACAUUCCA